rnacentral:lncRNA from 1 species
AUGGACUCUGCUCAGGUGAAAUCUAAAUUGAUUUCAGCCUUUCAUCUAUUAUUUUAUAACAUUUUUAUUUCUCUGUUAGUGGAAAAGUCCUCAUCCUCUGAUUUGAAACAUGGAGAAAGGAAACGUGAAGCUAAAUUUGAUUUUGGAGAUUCUGGUUCAAAUCGAUUUGAUGACAUUGGCCUUAGUGAAAAUGUAAUAAAAGGUGACUCAAAUGCAAGAAAUGGGGAUGAAUAUUCUAGUGGUAUCUCUGAAGACUCAGGAUUCAAUUUGGGGUCAUCUGAUCAGCAGGGAUUUGGAAUCAGUGGAAUUGGUAGGAAUGGAGAGAGUGGCAGUGGAAUCGUGGGGGCUGGAUACUUGAGUCCUGGAUCUGAUGUCAGUGGCACAGGUAUCUUCACCUGGACUCUGUUCCCAAGAAAUACAAAUUAGUUUCUUCCUUCUUCAUUUCUUUUAAUCACACUUUUAAUCAAUUAAUUGAUUUUCCAUUAGGAGAAAAUACUUGGUCUUCUGGUUCUGGAAGUGGUGGAGGAAGGAAGGGUGCAGCUGGACUUGGUGUUGGUACUUCUGGACCAAAUGAAUUUGGUGAAACUGGCGUUAGUGGCACAGGUACCUGUGAUACUGGAAUGGAUGUUAUUGGGUCUGGUUCCCAUGGACGAGAAUUGGGAUUUAUGUCUGGCGUUUAGAGAGUCAGGAUUCUAACAUAUGUUAUAAAAUAACAAUGAAAAUCAUAAACAUCAAUAAUGAUAUAAAAAGCAAGACAAAAUCCUGAAAUGAUAAACUGUAUUUAGACGUGAUCAGGAAAAAAAAUCAUUUAAUAUUUUUUGUAGAAUGUGGAAUGAAUUUUGUGGCUGUGAUUAGAUUUAUGUGGAGUUGUUUUUGUUGCCUUCAUGCAAAAAUGAUUUGGAGUCGCAUAUGUGAAGAGGUGAUUUGUUGG